rnacentral:rRNA from 1 species
UUCAGUGAAAUCGAGUAGGGCGGGACACGUGAUAUCCUGUCUGAAUAUGGGGGGACCAUCCUCCAAGGCUAAAUACUACUGACUGACCGAUAGUGAACCAGUACCGUGAGGGAAAGGCGAAAAGAACCCCUGUGAGGGGAGUGAAAUAGAACCUGAAACCGUGUACGUACAAGCAGUAGGAGCACCUUCGUGGUGUGACUGCGUACCUUUUGUAUAAUGGGUCAGCGACUUAUAUUCAGUGGCAAGGUUAACCAUCUAGGGGAGCCGUAGGGAAACCGAGUCUUAACUGGGCGUUCAGUCUCUGGAUAUAGACCCGAAACCAGGUGAUCUAGCCAUGGGCAGGUUGAAGGUUGAGUAACAUCAACUGGAGGACCGAACCGACUAAUGUUGAAAAAUUAGCGGAUGACUUGUGGCUAGGGGUGAAAGGCCAAUCAAACCUGGAGAUAGCUGGUUCUCCCCGAAAGCUAUUUAGGUAGCGCCUCGGACGAAUACUACUGGGGGUAGAGCACUGUUAAGGCUAGGGGGUCAUCCCGACUUACCAACCCUUUGCAAACUCCGAAUACCAGUAAGUACUAUCCGGGAGACACACGGCGGGUGCUAACGUCCGUCGUGGAGAGGGAAACAACCCAGACCGCCAGCUAAGGUCCCAAAUUACUACUAAGUGGGAAACGAUGUGGGAAGGCUCAGACAGCCAGGAUGUUGGCUUAGAAGCAGCCAUCAUUUAAAGAAAGCGUAAUAGCUCACUGGUCGAGUCGGCCUGCGCGGAAGAUGUAACGGGGCUAAGUAGUAAACCGAAGCUGCGGCAAUAUACUUUUGUAUAUUGGGUAGGGGAGCGUUCUGUAAGCGGUUGAAGGUGUGUGGUAACGCAUGCUGGACGUAUCAGAAGUGCGAAUGCUGACAUGAGUAACGAUAAAGGGGGUGAAAAACCUCCUCGCCGGAAGACCAAGGGUUCCUGUCCAACGUUAAUCGGGGCAGGGUAAGUCGACCCCUAAGGCGAGGCCGAAAGGCGUAGUCGAUGGGAAACGGGUUAAUAUUCCCGUACUUCUUACAAUUGCGAUGGGGGGACGGAGAAGGCUAGGUGGGCCUGGCGACGGUUGUCCAGGUUCAAGUGCGUAGGCUUAAGAGUUAGGUAAAUCCGGCUCUUUUUAAGGCUGAGACACGACGUCGAGCACCUACGGGUGUGAAGUCAUUGAUGCCAUGCUUCCAGGAAAAGCCUCUAAGCUUCAGAUUGUAAGGAAUCGUACCCCAAACCGACACAGGUGGUCGGGUAGAGAAUACCAAGGCGCUUGAGAGAACUCGGGUGAAGGAACUAGGCAAAAUGGUACCGUAACUUCGGGAGAAGGUACGCUCUUGAUGGUGAAGUCCCUUGCGGAUGGAGCUGACGAGAGUCGCAGAUACCAGGUGGCUGCAACUGUUUAUUAAAAACACAGCACUGUGCAAAAUCGUAAGAUGACGUAUACGGUGUGACGCCUGCCCGGUGCCGGAAGGUUAAUUGAUGGGGUUAGACUUCGGUCGAAGCUCUUGAUCGAAGCCCCGGUAAACGGCGGCCGUAACUAUAACGGUCCUAAGGUAGCGAAAUUCCUUGUCGGGUAAGUUCCGACCUGCACGAAUGGCGUAAUGAUGGCCACGCUGUCUCCACCCGAGACUCAGUGAAAUUGAAAUCGCUGUGAAGAUGCAGUGUACCCGCGGCUAGACGGAAAGACCCCGUGAACCUUUACUACAGCUUGGCACUGAACAUUGACCCUACAUGUGUAGGAUAGGUGGGAGGCUUUGAAGCACGUACGCCAGUAUGUGUGGAGCCGUCCUUGAAAUACCACCCUUGUAGUGUUGAUGUUCUAACGUCGACCCCUUAUCGGGGUUGCGGACAGUGCCUGGUGGGUAGUUUGACUGGGGCGGUCUCCUCCCAAAGAGUAACGGAGGAGCACGAAGGUGGGCUAAUCACGGUUGGACAUCGUGAGGUUAGUGCAAUGGCAUAAGCCCGYUUGACUGCGAGAAUGACAAUUCGAGCAGGUGCGAAAGCAGGUCAUAGUGAUCCGGUGGUUCUGAAUGGAAGGGCCAUCGCUCAACGGAUAAAAGGUACUCCGGGGAUAACAGGCUGAUACCGCCCAAGAGUUCAUAUCGACGGCGGUGUUUGGCACCUCGAUGUCGGCUCAUCACAUCCUGGGGCUGAAGUCGGUCCCAAGGGUAUGGCUGUUCGCCAUUUAAAGUGGUACGCGAGCUGGGUUUAGAACGUCGUGAGACAGUUCGGUCCCUAUCUGCCGUGGGCGUUGGAAGAUUGAAGGGGGCUGCUCCUAGUACGAGAGGACCGGAGUGGACGAACCUCUGGUGUUCGGGUUGUGUCGCCAGACGCAUUGCCCGGUAGCUAAGUUCGGAAUCGAUAACCGCUGAAAGCAUCUAAGCGGGAAGCGAGCCCUGAGAUGAGUCUUCCCUGAUACUUUAAGUAUCCUAAAGGGUUGUCGGAGACUACGACGUUGAUAGGUCAGGUGUGUAAGUGCUGUGAGGCAUUGAGCUAACUGAUACUAAUUGCCCGUGAGGCUUAA